rnacentral:tRNA from 1 species
CGGGGUGUAGCGCAGCUUGGUAGCGUACCAGACUGGGGGUCUGAUGGUCGCAGGUUCGAAUCCUGUCACUCCGACCA